CAGCACCUGUGGCAGUGCCGUAUACAUUAAUAGAGGCUUUAGAAGUAUUUACUGAAUUGAAUCAAUNUGGUGUUACAGGAAAUGGGCCAAUGGAAUGCUGAAAACAGCUGAGGGGAUCGGGAGGGCUUGCUAAGAAGAAGGGAGGAAGCACAUAGGCAUUACAGCUGUCAGAGGAAAUUCAAAACAAAGAGAAAAAUGAGAAGAUUUUCUACUUCCUUCUAAAAUCUCCCUUAUAAUCAUUUAGGUGAGAGUUGCAUAACCAGGUCACAGAGGACUGAGAAGCCAGUAGUUGGAACAUCCUGUAGCCAGAAGGUGGGGAAAAACGGCAUUGGAAUUUUAUUUGGAAAAGAAGAAUCAUUUUUUUUGCUAACCCUUUCUUAGUCAUUUGUUCAUGAAGGACAAGAAAGUGACUGAAGUAUUCACUGCAUUUUAGAAUAUAUGAAAUAAUCCCAAUAAAAUAUAUUCCAAAAUUAUAAAUGGGGCCUUU
rnacentral:lncRNA from 1 species